rnacentral:rRNA from 1 species
GACGAACGCUGGCGGCGUGCUUAACACAUGCAAGUCGAACGGAAAGGCCCUGCUUUUGUGGGGUGCUCGAGUGGCGAACGGGUGAGUAACACGUGAGUAACCUGCCCUUGACUUUGGGAUAACUUCAGGAAACUGGGGCUAAUACCGGAUAGGAGCUCCUGCUGCAUGGUGGGGGUUGGAAAGUUUCGGCGGUUGGGGAUGGACUCGCGGCUUAUCAGCUUGUUGGUGGGGUAGUGGCUUACCAAGGCUUUGACGGGUAGCCGGCCUGAGGGGGUGACCGGCCACAUUGGGACUGAGAUACGGCCCAGACUCCUACGGGAGGCAGCAGUGGGGAAUAUUGCACAAUGGGCGGAGGCCUGAUGCAGCAACGCCGCGUGCGGGAUGACGGCCUUCGGGUUGUAAACCGCUUUCGCCUGUGACGAAGCGUGAGUGACGGUAAUGGGUAAAGAAGCACCGGCUAACUACGUG